rnacentral:rRNA from 1 species
UGGGGAAUAUUGCACAAUGGGCGGAAGCCUGAUGCAGCGACGCCGCGUGGGGGAUGAAGGCCUUCGGGUUGUAAACUCCUUUCGACAGGGACGAAGCUUUUGUGACGGUACCUGUAUAAGAAGCACCGGCUAACUACGUGCCAGCAGCCGCGGUAAUACGUAGGGUGCGAGCGUUGUCCGGAAUUACUGGGCGUAAAGAGCUCGUAGGUGGUUUGUCGCGUCGUCUGUGAAAUUCCGGGGCUUAACUCCGGGCGUGCAGGCGAUACGGGCUGACUUGAGUGCUGUAGGGGAGACUGGAAUUCCUGGUGUAGCGAUGAAAUGCGCAGAUAUCAGGAGGAACACCGAUGGCGAAGGCAGGUCUCUGGGCAGUAACUGACGCUGAGGAGCGAAAGCAUGGGUAGCGAACAGG